AGAGUUUGAUCCUGGCUACAGGACGAACGCUGGCGGCGUGCUUAACACAUGCAAGUCGAACGGAGUAAGACGCUGGAAUGAUGGUAGCUUGCUACCGGAUCUCCUUGUCUUACUUAGUGGCGGACGGGUGAGUAACGCGUGAGUAACCUGCCCUUGAGUGGGGAAUAACGUUCUGAAAAGAACGCUAAUACCGCAUAAUGUAUCUUGACCGCAUGAUCGAGGUACCAAAGAUUUAUUGCUCAAGGAUGGACUCGCGUCCGAUUAGCUAGUUGGCGGGGUAACGGCCCACCAAGGCGACGAUCGGUAGCCGGACUGAGAGGUUGAACGGCCACAUUGGGACUGAGACACGGCCCAGACUCCUACGGGAGGCAGCAGUGGGGGAUAUUGCGCAAUGGGGGAAACCCUGACGCAGCAACGCCGCGUGGAGGAUGACGGUUUUCGGAUUGUAAACUCCUUUUAUAAGGGACGAACUAAGACGGUACCUUAUGAAUAAGCUCCGGCUAACUACGUGCC
rnacentral:rRNA from 1 species